rnacentral:rRNA from 1 species
AGAGUUUGAUCCUGGCUCAGGAUGAACGCUGGCGGCGUGCCUAAUACAUGCAAGUCGAGCGAACAGAUAAGGAGCUUGCUCCUUUGACGUUAGCGGCGGACGGGUGAGUAACACGUGGGUAACCUACCUAUAAGACUGGAAUAACUCCGGGAAACCGGGGCUAAUGCCGGAUAAUAUUUAGAACCGCAUGGUUCUAAAGUGAAAGAUGGUUUUGCUAUCACUUAUAGAUGGACCCGCGCCGUAUUAGCUAGUUGGUGGGGUAAUGGCUUACCAAGGCAACGAUACGUAGCCGACCUGAGAGGGUGAUCGGCCACACUGGAACUGAGACACGGUCCAGACUCCUACGGGAGGCAGCAGUAGGGAAUCUUCCGCAAUGGGCGAAAGCCUGACGGAGCAACGCCGCGUGAGUGAUGAAGGUCUUCGGAUCGUAAAACUCUGUUAUUAGGGAAGAACAAAUGUGUAAGUAACUGUGCACGUCUUGACGGUACCUAACCAGAAAGCCACGGCUAACUACGUG